rnacentral:rRNA from 1 species
UUUGACUAUCUACGCCGGUAAAGAUACACCUGUUCCCAUGCCGAACACAGUAGUUAAGCUUCUUAACGCCGAAAGUAGUUGGUGGGAAACUGUCUGCGAGGAUAGGAAGCUGCCGCGC